rnacentral:misc_RNA from 1 species
CAACCCUCAGGGCCCCCCUAGGGGGACCUGGUGUUGGGGGCCGGCCGCCCGCGCCGCCCCCGAAAUGCAGUGGCGACCCCGCCGCAGCCUCCCCUGCGUAGUAGCACAACCUCGCACCGGAGCGCGGAGGCGGUCACGCCGUAAAACGCCCAACUUUCUCAAGAG